CCAGCAUUACCUGUGCAACGGAGGAGUAACACAGUUUCAAAUUUAUGAAACUAGAACGUGGCCUGUGGGAAAUUUUCCGAUUGUCAAACGUGUAAAAUUGUGAGUGGAGGAUGUGCUUCCCUUUGAGGUCUCCUCAAAAUGAACAUUCCCUCCCAUCAGCAAUAUACUUGACAAGGGCUGUGUUAAGAGGACCAACACCAACAGUAACAUGGAUCAACACAAGAUUGCUCUGUUCUUCUCCUGCCCCACAACCAGCUGUCCAGAAACAACAUGAUAACAAGUAAGAGCACAAGCUGUGACUUCACCCAGAGCUAGACUUGCCUCCCAGCUGCAGCAACCCAAUGACUUGCUGUGAAUUGAAGGAGAUGACAGCAUUUAACUGCUCCAAGACAUGAACCACAUCACUCCUGCUUGACAUGCUACCUCAGUUUGAAGCUACUCAACAUGACAACCCAACAGCCUCAGUCUGUCUGAAGAGUUUGGAAAAGAAAUGAGUGUGAAGAUGAGCUUUGAAAAUCUCUCACUUCUACCUACAAAGAUUUUAUCAAAUGUAACUGCCUGGGUUGGGGACUUGGAUAAUAUCUUCCUCAUAAGGAAAUUCCACUAGAACUAAAUAUCUAAAUAACUCAUGGAACUUGUGACACUAUAUUUUCUAUGCACCAAUUGUCACUUUUAAAUUACUCAGUUGAACGUUUAGCUUAUUCAUCCUAUUAAGAUAGAAUGGGAACCAGCCUCCCUUCCUCAACUCUUUCCCCCCUCUAACUGGUCUUC